rnacentral:rRNA from 1 species
UACGGGGGGAGCAAGCGUUGUUCGGAUUUACUGGGCGUAAAGGGCGCGUAGGCGGUCAGCACAAGUCAGUUGUGAAAUCUCCGGGCUUAACUCGGAAAGGUCAACUGAUACUGUGCGACUAGAGCGCGGAAGGGGCAACUGGAAUUCUCGGUGUAGCGGUGAAAUGCGCAGAUAUCAGGAGGAACACCAAUGGCGAAGGCAGCACUCUGGGACGGUACUGACGCUGAGACGCGAAAGCGUGGGGGAGCGAACAGG